rnacentral:rRNA from 1 species
AUCGUUAACGAACGAGACCUUAACCUGCUAAAUAGCCCGUAUUGCUUUGGCAGUACGCUGGCUUCUUAGAGGGACUAUCGGCUCAAGCCGAUGGAAGUUUGAGGCAAUAACAGGUCUGUGAUGCCCUUAGAUGUUCUGGGCCGCACGCGCGCUACACUGACAGAGCCAACGAGUUCAUCACCUUGGCCGGAAGGUCUGGGUAAUCUUGUUAAACUCUGUCGUGCUGGGGAUAGGGCAUUGCAAUUAUUGCCCUUCAACGAGGAAUGCCUAGUAAGCGCAUGUCAUCAGCAUGCGUUGAUUACGUCCCUGCCCUUUGUACACACCGCCCGUCGCUAGUACCGAUUGAAUGGAUUC